CGGCUGGCUGCUGUAGCACUCCACGGCAGAGAGGCUAGCUGACUGGAGAGUCAGGUGCUGUGACGUCAGGGCUCAAGGCUCUCCGCAGAUGCUGUGACGUCAGGGCUCAAGGCUCUCCAGAGAUGCUGUGACGUCAGGGCUCAAGGCUCUCCAGAGAUGCUGUGACGUCAGGGCUCAAGGCUCUCCGCAGAUGCUGUGACGUCAGGGCUCAAGGCUCUCCGCAGAUGCUGUGACGUCAGGGCUCAAGGCUCUCCGCAGAUGCUGUGACGUCAGGGCUCAAGGCUCUCCGCAGAUGCUGUGACGUCAGGGCUCAAGGCUCUCCAGAGAUGCUGUGACGUCAGGGCUCAAGGCUCUCCAGAGAUGCUGUGACGUCAGGGCUCAAGGCUCGGCCUGUGGUUCAGGUGUCAGGUGGAUCCUGGACUGUUCCCUGAGCCACUGCAGUAGUCUGGUCUGCACAGUGGGAUGAGGUAGUAUGUUGUAUAGUUUUAGGGUCACACCCACACUGGGAGAUAACUAUACAACCUACUGUCUUUUUCAAUGUGACAAGAAUACUUUCAUCAAGUCGUAACCAAUAAUAUUCUGAUCACAGUUGAUGCAGUGUUUCACAGGAAGAUGCAGCAGCAAGGAGGCCUCAAAAGGUUGUCAUGUCUGAAGUGCAUUAAAGCUGAACCAGUCUCUGCAGAGGCGGUGUGAGGUAGUAGAUUGUAUAGUUGUGGGGGAGUGAUAUUACCCUGAUCAGAAGAUAACUAUACAAUCUAUUGCCUUCCCUGACCAGCAGAACAACAUCUACACUCAACCACAUUGUUCCAUAACGGCUUCUGAUUGUUUCUGUAACUUGUUCCAUAAAUGUACCAGACCUGAUGGAUAGCUGAUUGAGUGAGUGAAUAAUCACUCACCGUGAUAUGUACUGUUCUGUGGUGUGCUUGUCAUAUGAAAGGUUAAAUCCCAACUCCUAGCCUUUACCCUAUAGCGUCUACCUGUCCAGGGGUUGGUUUGGGACAGGUACGCCAGGGCAGAGGCUGUCUGUAGAGGUAGCAGAUUGCAUAGUGGUAAGGCAGGUGUUUUGUCUGGGGUGGAGAUUCAUAUGCAACCUGCUGCCUUUCCUUGGACCUCACCUUCCAUACUCCUGCUUGUAAGGAUCCAAUUCAACUCUUCCCAUGGUUCUAUUCUACUCAUGAUUGGUAUUCAACUACUGGUCCAGUCCACAGGGAGGCAGGAGGAAACGGGUCUGUUUUAUAUGAUCUACAGUAUGUACUUUAAUACUUAUACUUCAGCAGGACGUCUUGAAGAAUUAUCACGAAUAAAUUGUGUUUUGUGCGAUCAUG